CCUCCUAAUUUCUUCUCAAUCUUUCAUAGUCUCUCUCAUCUCUUCUUCUUCGCGCAUCAAACCCUAGUCGCUCUUGAUCUCCUUGCGUCUUCAUCUCUUCUAAUUUCUCUUCUGUCUCUUUUUCUUUUUCUCAUACAAAGAAGCAAGAUGUCAAGAACAAGGAUUUAUGGAAGUUCCUACGGUAUCUACUCCAAGAAAGAGAAGUUGGAGCUUGAAGGUGAUCAAUACAAGUGUUUGUCUUAGCCUUGCCUUGCAUAGUCACACCAUCACGUAAUGUGCUCUUUUCUUUCCUACAUUUGUAUAUGGACUUUUGUGUUUUUUAUUUCUUUGUUAGUACAUUCAUGUUUUGUAUAUUAUGAUUGUGUUAUAUUUGUCAAAUUAUUUAGUUUAACUUUUAAGAAUACUAUGAAAUUUAAUUUGUAAUAUUAUUUUUUCAUUUUUAAGUUAAUUUA